rnacentral:tRNA from 1 species
GGGCCCCUAGCUCGAUCUGGUAGAGCGCUCGCUUCGCAAGCGAGCGGCUCCGGGUUCGAAUCCCGGGGGCGUCCA